rnacentral:rRNA from 1 species
UACGGAGGGUGCAAGCGUUGUCCGGAUUUAUUGGGUUUAAAGGGUGCGUAGGCGGCUUGAUUAGUCAGUGGUGAAAUACUUGGGCUUAACCUAAGAACUGCCAUUGAUACUGUCGAGCUUGAGUAUUGUGGAAGUAGGCGGAAUUGACAGUGUAGCGGUGAAAUGCAUAGAUAUUGUCAAGAACACCGAUAGCGAAGGCAGCUUACUACAGAAUAACUGACGCUGAGGCACGAAAGCGUGGGGAUCAAACAGG